AAAUUCAUUCAGUUUUUGGGCUUGUACACAAAACUGCGAUGCGACAUCGCAUCGUAAAAAUCAACGAGCUCGCACAACGCAUCGCAAGAACUUGCGAUUUGAUUCGCAACGCGCAUUCCUGUGAUGUUUCGUCACAAUUGUUGACGCCAUUUUUAGUACGGUCUCCUAAGCAAUAACAGAAGUGCACACUUAUUUUUACGAUCCAUGUCACGACCUAGUUUUCAAUUCAAAAUACGUUUAGUACGGUUGACGGUUGUCGGAGGAAUGGUCAC
rnacentral:lncRNA from 1 species